rnacentral:lncRNA from 1 species
GAUACAUGCAUAUCUAGACAAAAUUGCGAUACUUAAUACGGGAUGGAGGGAGUCCUACCUUAUUGAUAAUUAGUUACUUACCCAUGUCCUGCUCUCAUAGUGAGCAUAGGGAAAUCCUGAGGUAUCUCCGUAUCCGGACUUAUAUAAAAAAAAGGAUAAAAAAAAACAUACUCGUAGCGUACACAUCUAUAUUAAAAUGUAAGACAUAGGAAGACGAGUAUAAAAAGCAGACUAUUACGAGAGGCGUGUGUCUCCACCAACAAACACACACAAAACUAACAACUCAAUAACAAGGAAAACACCGUUGCCUAGUGAAUUUACGAGCCGCAAUAGCCACACGUCUCUAAAGACGUGAUUGAAGACUUCGUUGGAAAACAUGACUAGGGGCACACUCAGUGCUUUUCUAUUGCCAAAUCUGAAGCUACCAAUGACCAUGUCGAGCAAGACACGCAGAUCUAGUCAUCACAUGCCUGAAGAUACCACAACUACCUCUCUCGAACUUAACUCAAUGACCAUUGCCACAAUUGCAUGGAGCUGAAGCGUCGGAUAGCCACUGACUCUUGAACAAUCCACCUGGUCCAAAAAGAAAUGGUCGACUAAACCCUCCACGUGCCCCCUAUGGAACCAAGGCCAUCACCAUCGGAGCGGAGAGGACGUAUUCCGACGUGAGAAUGCCGCCAAGAAAGCCUAAGCAACACAGUCCUUUUCCCGCCCGCCAACAUCGAGCCAAAAUCUAAUCAUCUUGAAGGUCCACGAUAGCAUCCGGAACCGACCACCUCGACAAAAUCCCCGUAGGCUAGGGUUUUGAGAAAACUCGUUACUUUGCCGGCCAGCUGCAAUCAGCAUUAUUGUGAAAAAAAAUCAUCAUUGUUAUUUUUUUUGCAGCCAAGUAUUUCAUUAAUAGAAAAUCAAGUUACAUGAACAAACAACCGUGGAAACGAAAAGACAGACCAGGAGAAAAACAGUUGUUCUGGAAAAUUUCUAGAAAGAAUCCAACGGCUAGAAAAGUACUAAACGAUCACUCAGUGUUCCUACACUCGCCAAAGCUAGCGGCCACCGCUAACCUCCAACUCUGCCUGGACGCCGGAAGAGAUACCAAGUCUCCACCAUUGCAGGGUCCAAAGAAGCAUCUCACCAACGAGGUUGUGUGAGUCGAUGAACAGGCCCAGUGCAAGCGCCGAAGUCAGGGAAUAACGAUAGAUCCACCACCUCCGAACCAACAUCCUCGCUCCAGAGCAACCACCUCGCCUCGGCCCCUACCGCCACCGUGGAUAAUGAUGAAUGCUAGUGACACACCGUGAAACGGAUCUCACACAAUCUGAAGAACGGCGAGAAGACCAACCUACUAAUCUGAACGACCGACAAGUACAUAUUCAACUCCUAGGCGCUGUCGUGAAGACCGCCGUCGGUGUGGGAGUAGAAUUGAGACAAAUUUAUUCGCUCGGACAUCGGCACCAUAGCAGACACACCCUCUCUCUUGCUGCCGGAGCGACAAGCGCAGUGAGAAGGGACCAAUGCC